UCAUGACGUGGGCUAGCCACAACACUUAUACACACAUAGCACAAAUUAACUUAUGAAACAUAUUAUGUGUGCACUAUGGCGUUGUUUGGAUAAGGGGAACAUACAGAUCGGGAUCUCCAUAAGCCAGAAAAACGGCCUAACCGUACAAAAUCUUGUUUGGCUCCUCCAACGAACCCAUGCAUAUAGGAAACUCGUUUCACAAAAGCCCAAAAUUCCAGGUUUAUGGGAAAACGAGUAUUAGUCGUUUUUCCACAAACGCGAUUAACAAAUACAGAUCGCAACUGUCCAUCUCCGCCUCCGCCCUUUCCUGAACAACCACAUUGGCACCAAUUUUUCUUUCUGCGACUCACCUCCCGCCUUUUUCCAUUGCCUAUAUAACAGGAUUUGUUGGCCGCAUGGUGCGUUCCACACACAGAUCACAUAGGCUGGCUGCGAUCCCCGGCCACAGGCACUGGAUGGAAUACAUCGCCUUUGGAUCUGAACUUGGCCGUCUUCAAUAGGACUGCACACCUCCAUCGAGCUCUUGUUAUCAUCAUCAUCUUCCGGUCUUCAAUCAGGAUUCGUGGCUUCACCCGUCCUACACGGUAAGAUAAACCAUCUAGAGUUACAAAAUUCUGCAGUACGAAUUGUUUUUGUAAAUACGUUCAUGCUACUGUUCAUUGAAUUAAUUCUAUUGGCAGCGAACCCUAUUUUCCAUACAACCCCUGAUAAUUUUAUUUAGGCAAUUCCUAGAUUAUACAAGAUCCAAUAACAUGGUAAUUCCUAAAUAUGAAUUUAUGGUACAUACGAGAAUCAGGGUGCUCUAUAAAUGCACCAUACAUAUUAAAAUAAUCCAACACCGAACCACAAUAAUAUUGUCAAUCAGUGUAUAUAUCCAAGUGCAGUAGUUAGUUUUUCAUGAGAAGGAUACAGUUUAAAUCACAGUAUAAGGAUAAUUUUGCAUAAGUAUCAAUCAUAUCUAUCCAUAUUAUAUAGUGUAUGGUAAGAGCUAUGAAGUAAGCAAAUGAAGAUCAGAAUACCUUGUGAUGUCCAAUGUGAAGUUCACGGCAAUAAGUGGGGAAACCUAGCCCAGCUUCAUAGUAAAUGAACUUCAUGCUUGAGAUCUUGGCUGCAACCCAGCAAAGUAACUGGUCAGGGAACAUCCCAUUAGGCGAACAUGCGACAAAAAUUGAAGUGUCCAGUCACACUUUGAACAAAAGAUUAGUUCACUCCUAGACUCCCAUUUGUGUACAACGACCACAGGAUUACCCCUCAAAAGAUCGAAAUAUUAGUGGCAUGCUCAUUUUCUUCCACUUCGUAGAUUUAUCGUAAUGAACAAAAUGACUCAUCUUGCAUUAUUUCUUCUUGUAUCUCCCUGUAGAAAAAUAUGGAUGAUGAGAAGGACAAAAUAAUUAGGAAGGAAAACACAGAUAAAGCUAAGCGCCACGUAUGGAAAUCUUCAGAGGACAAAAUACUACUCAAUAUAUUGAAAGAUCAAAGUCUACAGGGAGGGAAAAAAGGAAUAAGUUACACACAGAAAGCAUGGCGUGUUAUCUUAGGACAAUUCAACGAUUCAAGGGUAGAGAAACUUGAAUUACAAUAACUGAAAAAUCGUCAUAAGUACUACAGGAGUUGCUAUAGUACCAUGGACAGACUUCUAAAACUCACGGGAUUUGGUUGGGACGAUGAUGAUAAAAUGAUAAAAGCUUCAGAAGAAAUUUGGGAAGAACUAAUUAAGGUAAGGAUUUGCGAGUAGAAUCCAUAUGAAGUUCUCAUAUCAUAGUAUUAACCUAAAACUAAACAACUUGCAGAAGGAUAAGUCACUACAG
rnacentral:lncRNA from 1 species